rnacentral:rRNA from 1 species
UACGUAGGAGGGCAAGCGUUAUUCGGAAUUACUGGGCGUAAAGCGUGCGCAGGCGGUUUUGUAAGUCUGUCGUGAAAGCCCCGGGCUCAACCUGGGAAUGGCGAUGGAGACUGCAAGGCUAGAGUUUGGCAGAGGGGGGGUAGAAUUCCACGUGUAGCAGUGAAAUGCGUAGAUAUGUGGAGGAACACCGAUGGCGAAGGCAGCCCCCCUGGGUCAAAACUGACGCUCAUGCACGAAAGCGUGGGGAGCAAACAGG